AUUGAACGCUGGCGGCGUGCUUAACACAUGCAAGUCGAGCGGUAACGGGCGUAGCAAUACGUGCUGACGAGCGGCGAACGGGUGCGUAAUACAUGGGAAUCUGCCUUUUAGUGGGGAAUAACCCGGCGAAAGCCGGGCUAAUGCCGCAUAAGAUCUUCGGAUGAAAGCGGGGGAUCGUAAGACCUCGCGCUGAAAGAUGA
rnacentral:rRNA from 1 species